GGGAGAAAAUGCGGCUAAAUAAAGGUAAUGGCAGGACCCACAUUCUACUUGUCAAACAAAGGGCGGAGACUCUCACAACUUUUGUUGGUUGAGUCUCGCCCAUCAUAAAAUUUUUCGGAGCAUAAGGGAUCUCCCUGCCUGAGAUCGGGGCACAAGGGAUCUCUCUGUCUCAAGCCUUUCUUUGCUGGAAAUGCGCUGGUAGGAACUCCAUUUAUAACAAUUGAGUAAGAUACAGAGGUAACACAACUCAUGAUCCAGGCAGUUAUUUGGUGAGGAAAAUUCAAGCCAUCAAGCAUUUGUUUUAAGAAGCUUCAUUUUACAGAAUCAUAUACCUUCUGCAUAUAAAUUUUCAGCAUGCAUCGUGGAAAGACCCCUUUUCUUCCAUAUUCUUUUACCAACUCAUGGCUCAAAAUAAUAUUAUCUGAUACAAGUCUACCUGGCACAAUGGCUGACUGACUAGGAUCUACCAGAUACUCCAUUAUCCCCUGCAACCUAUGAGUAAUGAUCUUCGAAAUCAACUUGUAUAAUAUUGUGCAACAAAAUCCCUCAGGAAGUUUCAAAAUCUCUCACUUCACUUUCCUGUACAGGACUGGUCAUAAUUCGAUCCUCCCCUUUAAGCACUGCAUUAAGUCACCCAUUAAAAGCCACGGUGUUUGAAUGCUACUCCUGGAGAAACCAUAAACUGUUGUGAAUUGGAAUUCAAAGUCUCGAACUAAGUAUCUGGACAGUACUAUGAAUAAACUGAGCUUGAACAUCACCAAUUGUUACUGUUACGAAAUUGGGGUUCCACGUGAAUAACUUCAUAGUGAAAGGUGGGGAUUAGGUAUUCCAGCUAUAGCCCCUGUACUACAUUGACCUGGUUCAGCUCCAAAACCAAGGCCCAGCUGUGGAGGUCUUGUAAACUCAGUACCAGUUCCUUCAGCCAGUUGAAUAUUUACUGGGUCUAUUACCCCUAAACUCAAUAUUGGUGUAUUUUGUCACCUUUUUGUGUCGACAUGACACCUUUAUUACAUAAAAAUGGGGUCCACAUCAAAGGUGUCACGUCAGCUAAAAAGGUAUUAUGUCGGCUAAAAAGGUUGACAAAAAUACGCUAAAAUUUAGUUCAAGGGGUAAUAGGGACCCCUGUGAAGUUGGAGCGUGUCGUAGCAAAUUUGAUCAUAGUUCAUGAGGUACUAGAUGUUUUACUCUUUUUUAAAAGGUAUGCAAUAGAGGACAAAGCAUUCUGUGUAAAAAGAGUUGCACCCUAAGGGAUGUGAUGUAGAUAGUCUAUCCUGAUGCAAUCAUUAGUGGUUGCUUCCGCUGCUCAAACUCCUAACUUAUAGAUGGCAUGAAGACAACUUCGCAUUGCUCUAAGGCUCCCCUUCUAGUAUAUGCAUAUAUGUGCGUCACUUUAUUAUGUUUAUUAAUUAUCAAACAUCCUACUUCUGCAAUUGACAAGUCAUUUUUUUUAUAAUACCUGAUAGAAUGACUACUCAAAAAUAAACUUGUUCAAAUUCUUUUUUUUUUUUUUUUUUGCAAGGAAGUCCCACCUCCAAUCGUACAACGAGUCAUCUACUCAAAAAUCCCUCCCCACAUUCCAUUAUUUGUUGAAUUAUUCAAUCAUGCAAUACUUAUUAAAUACAAAGAACAGAAUCCAUUAGACCCCAUCAUGGUUCUCGAUCAUUUCGUGGCACCAUGGUAUAGUUGUACCAUCUACUAUGGAGAUGCUAAUAAGAAGCAAGUCUUGAAGUGGACAUUCUUUUCCUUUUCCUAUUACGCAAGUGUCUGACUUAUGCGCACCUCCACUAAUUCACCCCACCUGUUAUGUGCUACCUUCUACCAACAUAGAUAAUCAUAAACUCUGUCAACCAAAAGGCUUAAAUAAACGAAAAGAAAUCUACUCGGUUACUUGCUAUUUUCUAACAGCAUAGAGCACCAGAUAACUCGGUCAACCAAGAAUUAAAUAAAUGAAUAGAAAUCACCUAGCGUUUAUCGCCUAAUCUUUAAAAUGCAAAUUCUUAAAAAACUUACAUUUGCUAAUCAUUUAUUUAAA